rnacentral:lncRNA from 1 species
AUGGAGGCACAUGAUCCAAAGGAACCAGAGCACUUGAGAAAACUGUUUACUGUGUUCACAGCUUUGAAAAUACAGACGAUAGUUUGAGAAAUGGCACAUACUCACAGGCUGUGUGAUAAUGAGAGACUCCCAAACAACACAUUCCAGAGGCUUUGGUUUUGUGACUUACUCUCGUGUUAAAGAGGUGGACACACAAGGCUGACAGGUGUGUACUGGAACCAAAGAGAGCUGUUUCUAGAGAGGAUUCUAUAAGGCCUGGUGCCCAUCUAACCAUGAAGAAAAUCUUUGUUUGUGAUAUCAAGGAAGAUAGAGAAGAAUGUAAUUUGGAGAGAGAGGAAAGAAAAGUAUGGCACUAUUUAAACCAUAGAUGUUAUGGAAGGCAGGCAGAGUGGAAAAAAGAGGGGAUUUGCUUUUUUAAAAAUAACUUUUUAGGAUCAUAAUACAGUUGAUAAAGUUGUAAUUGUCACAGAGCAAAAUUUGGAGGCGGUGGAGGUAAUUUUGGCUGUGGUGAAAACUUUGGUGGAAGAGGAGGCUAUGAUGGAGGUGCUGGAAGCAGAGAUAGUUGCAGAGGAGGUGAUGGUGAAUAUAAUGGAUUUGGAAGUGAUGGUGGCAACUAUGGUGGUGGUCUUGGUUAUAGUAAAAUAAGGGGCUAUGGUGGUGGUGGACCAGGACAUGAAAACCAAGGUGGUGGAUAUGGUGGCAAUGGUGGAGGAUGUGAUGGUUGCAAUGAAGGAGGAAAUUUUGACAGUGGUAACUAUGAUGGUGGUGGGAAGUAUAGUGAUUUUGGAAAUUAUAGUGGACAACAGCAAUCAAAUUAUGGACCCAUGAAAGGAGGCUUUCUGGGUGGAAGAAGCUCGGGCAGUCCCUAUGGUGGUGAUUAUGGAUCUGGUGGUAAAAGUGGUGGAUAUAAUAACAGAAGGUUCUAAA